UAAGUAAUGUGAAUUAAUGAGGGAGUGCUUCAACCUUUGUAUCCAGACAGUUAUUUAACCUGUGUUUCAUUUCCAUAUCCAUACCUGGAAUAUUUUAUAGAGCCAUAUAGUGCUAAUACAGUUGUAACCAAUAUAUUCAUAAUAUUUUCCCAGGAUUGAGAAAACCUCAUAAGUCUGGAGUCUAAAUUUUUUUCAGAUAUCAUAUUUUUACUUUUAAAUUUACUCUAUUGAUCUGAAAUGUGUUCUUUUGUUAAAUACUAGCUUCAAAUGAUUUUUUUUAAUUGAAUCAUCUAAAUUAUUUAAAAUGCGUCCUAAUUUUAAGGUAAAAUUAUGAAAGCAUAUUGCUAGAAAUGUCUGUCUUGAGUUGGAGCCCUGUAUAGGGGACAGGAAGGAAAAGAUUCAGCAAGUGAAGAUACUAUUAAGCAAUCUGUCUUCUCUUUUAAAGGAGAUUCUAAAAUUGAAGGACUUAGGGUUGGGUUCUAGAACUAUUCUACUUUUAUUCAUAGACAGAAAACAGGCCUGAACCAGGGAUUAGGAAAGCUUACAGGCUAUUAGGAAGGUCCUUUUUAGGAAAACCAUAGCUAUUAGUCUGCUGCUGAGGAAGUUGGGCUCCUUUCAAAGAAUCUCUUAAUUAUCUCUCCUAUUGCUGAAGCUGCAGUUAACAUAUAGAAAAGAGUGCUUCUCUUUAAUGAAUUCCCAAAUGCUGUGGCAUUUAUUAAGGAAAUAUUUAAGUAGACCCAUUGUUCAGAGGAUAUUUUAUUCUUUUCUUUCUACCACUGCCCCUGCCUCAGCUUAUUAGCUUCCUAGUGGGAGGUUAAAAGAAAUCCAUGAGAAUAUAUUGUAUUCUCUGUCUGCCCUCUAUUCCUUACUUAACUUUGUACUUAACUGGAACAAAAAUAAAAAUAAGUUCAGACCCUAGUGGAUGCUGAUUUAAAAAACUCUUAAGCGGGAUACAAGUUGUUUAGCUCUACUGAGAUUGUUUUCUUAGUCCUCUCAGUCAUUAACAUGAGGAAAAUUAAAAUUCAUUAGUAUUCAUUUCUUUUCACUGUGUAUUUAUACAGUAUUUAAUAUAAGUGAGGUUUGGUAUUCAGUUCUGAGAUACAAAGAUGAAUAAUACAGACUUGGAUUCUGGCCACAUAAACUUACAAUAUAGUUAGGGAAAUAAAUAUGUGCUUAUACAAUGUAAUAAGCAGCACAUAAAAGGAAGACACCUGAUGAGCACUUAUCCAGGCUUGGGAGAACAGCACGCUUCCAGGAUGAGGUGCGUGAAUUUGCCUUUAGGGAAAACUGGGUGAAUAGAACUGAAAAACAGUAAAAAUACUGAUGUAACUGGACCUUAAGUAUCUGUAGAGGUGUGAGAGAAAGUGAGAGGAUAUAUAACCUCUCUUUGGGGGAGUGCUGCUGGAAUAAGAGCAGUCUUUUAAUGAAUACACAUCCAAAUCACAUUUGCAAAAGAAAUGUUAAGCAAAGAAAUUAAGAAUAUUGGUAGGAAAGUGGUUGACAUGGAGUACAUACAACCUGGAUCCCUGAACCCCAGGUAGAAUCCUUGAUCUUAACAGAUAUACCUCCUCUCAGUCUGAAAUAAAUAGAAUUACUAUCAUAGCCCCAAAAGAGAUGCUACUUGCUUGCUUUUUCACUUUCAAGAUUCCUAUGGUUUAAUGUCAUGUGAAACCUGAACUUGGGGGUACUUAAAAUUUGGACUUUAUAGAAAGAGCAAAAAUGGAGUUGAAUUUAAUAUGAGGCAGAAUAUUAAUACACAAAAUAUAAUGUAUCGGCUCCCCCUUGCCUCUGACCCGCAGAUUUGGAGGGAAUGCGAUGAAAUGCUGAAGAUCUGAAAGGACCAGCCAGGGGAUGGACUCAAGGCGCAGCAGCACAAGAGUUUUUACAAAUUUCACUGUUGAGAGAUGCUGCCCUCAGUGGAAUCAAAGAAGUAUCAGGACAGUAAGAAAAAGACAUAAGUUAACAUUAGAGCUGACUCAGUGCCUGGCUGAGGUAAGGACUCAUGUGAAAGCUGCCUGGCUGAGUUUCAAGCUAAAUAAAACAGAGUGGCUAAAAAGACAGGACUCUCUGGCCUUGGGGGACAAGGGAGCCAUUAGGGGAAAGGAAUCUUCGAGUCAUCAUUUGCAGAGUGAUUGCCCACAGGAACCACUGGAUCAAGAACUGUCAUGUAGAACUGUUACAUGGCUUGACUGGAGGUGUUGGCUAAGUGCUUCAUUCCCACUGAGAGCCACAUCACAGGCAAGACACUGAUAUUUGCUGACCGGGACACGAAGCACUGUCUCUUGUGGGUCAAUCAAAGGCUGACCGAAAUAACAGAAGGACUUUUGAUGAUUUACUGCGGCAUCUUCAUCAGUAAACAUCAUCUGGCACUUUCUGCAUAUAAACUCAUACUUGACGAAUGGAACAACCUCGGUCUGCUGUCCUGACAGAGAGGAUGGAGGAGGAGGAGGAGGAGGAGGUGGUGGAGGUGGCGGAGUCUGCAGCAAAGGUUUGGUGGGGACACUGCUGAGAGACAGGGCAGGAGACGAAGUAGCUGAAGAAGGAA